UACGUAGGAUGCAAGCGUUGUCCGGAAUUAUUGGGCGUAAAGAGAACGUAGGUGGCUUGUUAAGUUCGGUCUUAAAGACCGGGGCUCAACCCCGGGAAUGGACUGAAAACUGGCAGGCUAGAGGAUGUCAGAGGAUGGUGGAAUUCCAAGUGUAGCGGUGAAAUGCGUAGAUAUUGGGAGGAACACCAGUGGCGAAGGCGGCUCACUGGACCGGUACUGACGCUGAUGCGCGAAAGCGUGGGGAGCAAACGGG
rnacentral:rRNA from 1 species